rnacentral:misc_RNA from 1 species
GAUCUGACUCUAGUACGAGAGGACCGAGUUGGACAUACCUCUGGUGUACCAGUUGUUGUGCCAACAGCAUAGCUGGGUAGCUAAGUAUGGAUAGGAUAAUUACUGAAAGCAUCUAAGUAAGAAACCUUCCUCAAGAUUAGAUUUCCCCAUUAGGGCCGUGAGAGACUAUCACGUUGAUAGGCUGGGUGUGUAAGUAUGGUAACAUAUGUAGCUAACCAGUACUAAUAGCCCGAUUGAUUUACUUAAUUUGUAAUUAUAUGUAGUGUUAAAACUGCGAGUGUCUUUUUGCUUACUUUGUUUAUAGUUUAAUUGGGUUGGUGGUAAUAGCAGGAGUGAUACACCCAGCUUACAUUUCGAACCUGG